GCAAAAGCUGUCAAUAAAAGGCAAGUUCGACAUACAAAAAACAGACGGCAUCGAACAAUUUAAUAUACCGUGCAAAUUUCAGUUGAGAACCGGGAUAGAAACGGCAGUGGCGGCAAUAAAAACACGCGAAACGUUGGCAGAACGCGAAA
rnacentral:sRNA from 1 species